rnacentral:lncRNA from 1 species
GUGUGAGCUUGGUAAUGGGAAAGGAUGAUCAGGAAUGGUGGCUGUGUCGAACUACAGAGUCCAACACAGAUAAGGACCCAGCAGAGUUUGAGCUGACAGGAGGACCCUGAUAACUUGCUUUAUCAUUUCAUUUUUGCUUAAAAUAGGUAUUUGGACGUUUUCCUCACCACCCUACCAUUCCUCCUUCACACUUAAGAAUGACUGCUUAAAUAUAAGAAUUAAGUAGGUCACGUUAAUAAAUUUCACAAUUUAUGAUAAAUUUCACAUUUAUGUAACAUUUUGACAGUUUAUGUAACAUUUCACAACUUGUGUAACUAAUUUUUAGUGAGUUUAAAAUACUUUUUGGUGAAUAUAAGGGAGAACUUCAAGAUUGAUGAGGUUUGCCAAGGAAUGAUGGUGGACUAAGAAUGAGUAUGUAGCAUUCAUUCUCUGACUUUGUGGCAACCCCUGAAAACCAGAAUGAUGGAGGAGAAGCCAUGGUUAAGACUUGAGAUUUAAUUUCCUUUUACUUUCUUCUCCAGACUGGAAGCAUUUUAGUGAAGUUCUGGUGAAAUGCUUAGACAGCCUCUCCUUUCUUUCUGGUCUCUGGUCUUCAUUCCGUGACUCUGACUUUGGAGUUUUUGCCUCCUUCUUCCAGCAUCCUACAUCUAUGACCCAGGGUUCCUCUGAGCCCCAGAAAGCUAAGUCACUUGGAUGAUUGAGGUAGAAAGAGCCAGUUAGGUUCGAGACAGAUAACCAAAAAGUUUCUGAGCACUAUUCUCCAAUACCUGGGUUUGAGCCUGCUGGAAAUCCUAUCUUGCAAAAUUACAUGUUACCACUCCCUCUUAAAUCGAUCUUUGCUACUGCUUUCCUCAUUAGGUUGACUUUACCUCAUCUUUGUCUUUCUAGGAGCUUCAAUAGAAGAAAGAAAAAAAAAAAGCCCCUCUUUCCUCCUUUUCUGCCAUCUGCUUUAGCUUUCUUUUCUUUAUUCUCAACCACUGUCUUUCCUCUUUAAGUGUUAAACCCAAAAGAAGUUACUCAUAAUUCUUGGUAUUGAAUUAAUUCUUUCUUUUAACAAUUAAUGAGUGUCUGCAUGCCAGAAACUGGCCCAGCCCCUGCAAAUAUAAACAGUGAACAAAGUGCACAAAACCCCUGCCCUUGUGCUACUUGUAUUCAAGAAGGGGGAAGAGAGACAAUAAAAUGUCUUUAAGUUAGAAUUUGCCAAGUGCUGUGGAGAAAAGUAGGCAGGAAAUGGGGCUAGGGGAGGUGUGGACAGGUGGUGGUGAUGGGUGGGUAAAUUGAGAGAAAUAAAUUGUUUCAUUCAAAAUUAUUAAGGAAUUCAAAAUUGGGGGAAGAUUAUUGUAUUUCCUGAGUAAAUUUAAUAGUGUUUCAGCUCAUUGUAUUUAAUAGAAGUGUUUCUCAUUUACUACUUGGUUUAGACCCAGCAGAUCUCUGAAUGUUUCUAUUUUCUAGUAACUGAAGCCAGAAAAACAACAGCCCUCAGGCAUAACAUAAGCCUAGAGCAGAUUUGUCAAAUGAUUUAGAAUAGACCCCUUAAUUUGAUUUUUUUCUAAAAGUGCUAUGUUGUGUUUGUUUUUAAAUUCUCUAGACUUUUUGUUUAUACCGUUUUUAUUGAGAUGAGUAAUAUAUGUUCUUUGUGGAAAACUGGAAAGCUACAGGGAAGUUGAAAGAAGAAAAUAAUAGUCUCUAAUAAUCAUGUUACCCUGAGAAAUGUUCAGUGUUAAUAUUUUGGUAGCUCUCGUUCUAGAAAUGUUUCAUUGGGAAAAAUGAAAUUAUAUAGUCGGCUUAAUAGCUUACUAGCACUUAUCAAAAUAAUGGUUCUACUUUAUUAUAUAUUUAUCAACUAAUUGUUAUUAGAUAAAUAAUAUUGCCUUGCUACUACUGAAUAUUAAUAAUGUCUGAUAUUUAUUGAGCGUUUUCUAUAUCCUAGUUACUUUUGAGACAUUUUAACAUAUUUUUGCUCAUUUAGUUUUUAGCCUCUCUGUAAGAGCUGUUCUGUUAUUAUUUAUUUUACAGUUGAGAAAAUUGAGCAAGGACAGGUUUAAUAAUUUUCCUGGAGUUCCCAUUGUGGCAUAGCAGGUUUAGAACCUGAUGUAGUCUCCUUGAGGAUUCAGGUUCUAUCCCUGGCCUCGAUCAUUGGGUUUAGGAUCUGAGGUUUCGGCAUAGGUCACACAUGUGGCUUGGAUCCGGUAUUACUGUGGCUGUGGUAUAGGCCUGCAACCCUAAAAUAAAAGACAAAAAAAAAAAAAAAAUCUGCUAAUUUGAUAUAAAGACCCUUCUUUUAAUUUUCUUUCUCUGAAUAUUAAUAAGAUUAUACUUUAAAAAAUUUUUUUCAAAGAAAUAUUUGUCUCUACUCUUUUCUUGGGCCAGGGAUCAGAUCGGAGCCACAGUUGUGACCCAUGCCACAGAUGCGGCAAUGCUGGAUCCUAUAACCCACUGUGCUGGCCAGGGAAUGGAACCCAAGUCCCUGCCACUGCAGAAACACUGUUGAUCUUGUUGUGUCACAGUGGGAACUCCUUCUCUGCUCUUACACAUCUUAUGCAGGUUUUGUGUUUAUCUGAUGACUCUGUAAAUAUUUGUCCAUUUGACUUAAAGGUGCUCAUGAUGAUGUUGGUGAUAGCAAGAAGGUCAUCAACCUUCCCAAUAUAUAAAAUAGAGAAACUUACACAGAAGAAUUAAUAUUGGAACUGGGCUUUGAAGCCCAGUGGGGAAGGAAUGAGAAAGGGUGGAGCCCAGAGACUAAAACUGAGUGAAAACAGCCAUGAAAAUUUUUCCAUUCUGGGAAAAACAUGUUACUUAGAGUGAUUUUUGAGGAUUAUUAACCUUGCCUCUGGGAAAGCCUGAUGAAAUAAAACCUUCUUUCACCCAGCGUACCUGGUCUAGUUUUCAGAAUUUUUUUUUUUUCUUUUUUGGCUGCCCCAGGGCAUCUAGAGUUCCUGGUCCAGGGCUCAGAUCUGAGCCACAGUUGUGACCUAUGCUGCAGCUGCGACCUUCCCUGGAUUCUUUAAUCCACUGUGCCUGGCCAGGAGUCGAACCUGCAUCCUGGCAUUGCAGAGACUCUGCUGAUCCUAUUGCAACACAGUGGGAACUCUUAGUGUUCAGAAUAUUUAUUAUUAUUAUUAUUAUUAUUUGCUUUUUAUGGCCGCACCUAAGGCAUAUGGAAGUUUCCAGGCAAGAGGUCCAAUUGGAACUGUAGCUGCCAGCCUGCACCACAGCCAUAGCAAUGCCAGAUCCAAACUGCAUCUGCAACCUACACCACAGCUCACAGCAAUGCCAGAUCCCCAACCCACUGAGCGAGGCCAGGGAUUGAACCAGCAUCCUCAUGGAUGCUAGUUGAGUUCGUUGCUGCUGAGCCACAACUGGAACUCCAUGUUCAGAAUAUUUAAAUCUAACUUGUAGAUCUCUUCUGCUGUGAAACAGGGCUCAAUUUCUCCUUUGAUUCCCCCUUUUCAGUGUGAUGAGGAAGUUGGAGGGCCCUGGUGUAAUCCUGGUAAGAUCUUGCAAUGCCUAGGGAAGCUUGGUGACAUGGUGGGCCAGGUCCACUGGCAGCCUUUGCAGGGAGUGGAAGUCUUGGGCUUGGAGAGAGCAGGAACACUGCAGCUUUUGUCUGUGGAGACUUGGGCUUCAGCACGUCUUUCCCUGGCUGUUAGCAAAUGGGAUGAGGCUUCAACUCCAUUUCUCUCCAUCUCUCAUUACCUUACUGUUUUUCUGGCUGUGGUGAGAGACUAAGAGAUGUUCCCUACUAGCUUCCUCUUGAGGUAUACUGAUGGCUGGUCUUGAAAAAGGAGUGAGCACUUUAUGUAUUAACAAUAUAAUUUAUUUGUCAUUUAAUUUAAAUAUGUUUUCAAAUCUCUUUUCUCUUUAGCUUAAUUUCUCAUCAUGUAACUAAAACUUUUUUCAUUAUGAAGAUAAUACAUACUGAUUGAAGAAGCUUUUUAAAAUAGAGGGGGAAAAAAAGGAGGAAAAAAGUCACUCCAAGUCCAACACCCAAUGACAACCACAUUUUGGUGUCUCUUACCCACUCCAUCUUUUCUCUUUGUUUUUACAUGCAUAUUGUUUUACGUGUUUUACAAUGUAUUAUUGUAGUUGGAAACAUGGCUCAUGCUGUCUAAUUGAGGUUUUAGUUCCAGCCUAGCUUUUUAUUAGCUUUGUGAGUGUAACAACUUCAGUAAGCCUCAAUUUUCUUUUCUUGGAAAAGUGGAGAUUUGGGGAGUUUCCGCCAUGGUGCAGUGGGUUAAGAAUCCAGCUACAGCGGCUCUGGUCACAGCUGCAGCUCAGAUACAGUCCCUGGCCCGUAACUUCUGUAUGCUAUGGGUGUGGCCAUAGGAAGAAAAAAAAUGUGGAGAUUUCAUCAUAAUAUUGAUCCAUGAGUUAUUGUGAGGAUGAUGAGAUGAUGUAUAUUUAAUGUGACCACCUCAUGGUAACUUUUCAAUAAUGUAAUACUAAUCAGUCCUGUCUUUUGGUUAGGUUAGCUAGAGAUGCUGCUCUGGGAUGGACUUGGAGGAGGGAAUGGACCAGGGACAUUGUAUCUUUCUUUUCUGAAAUAAUUAAAAUUCAAUUUCAGGAAUUCCCAUUGUGGCUCAGUGGUUAACGAAUCUGACUAGGAACCAUGAGGUUGUGGGUUCGAUCCCUGGCCUUGCUCAGUGGGUUAAGGAUCUGGCGUUGCCGGGAGCUGUGGUGUAGGUCGCAGACGUGGCUCGGAUCCCGAGUUGCUGUGGCUCUGGCGUAGGCUGGCAGCCACAGCUCUGAUUAGACCCCUAGCCUGGGAACCUCCAUAUGCCACAGAAGCGGCCCAAGAAAAUGGCAAAAAUAAAUAAAUAAAUAAAUAAAAUUAAAUUCAAUUUCAAAAUAUUUUUUAAACAUUCUCAAGGGGCCUAAGGAAAUGUUUACUCUGAGACCUCCUUUAAAAUGCCAUUUAUCUCUGGCCAGCCUCACAGUGGGCUAGUGGCCCUGUGCCUCAUACUUCUAGGGUAGCCUUGAUAAUGAUGAUAUCAAUGAUUAUGAGGGAGCAAUGACAACAAGUAAAGACCUGAGUGUUGGAGUUCCAGUUGUGGCUCAGCGUAACAAACCUGACUAGUAUCCAUGAGGAUGUAGGUUUGAUCUCUGGCCCCAGUCAGUGGGUUAAGGAUCUGGUGUUGCCAAGAGCUGAGGUGUAGUUUGCAGACAUGGCUUGGAUCUGACAUUGUUGUGGCUGUGGCAUAGGUCAGCAGCUGCACUCCGAUUUGACCCCUAGUCUGGGAACUUCCAUUUGC